rnacentral:rRNA from 1 species
GACGAACGCUGGCGGCGUGCUUAACACAUGCAAGUCGAACGGAAAGGCUCCAGCUUGCUGGAGUACUCGAGUGGCGAACGGGUGAGUAACACGUGGGUAAUCUGCCCUGCACUCUGGGAUAAGCCUGGGAAACUGGGUCUAAUACUGGAUAUGACCUUUCUCCUUAUGGGGUUUGGUGGAAAGUUUUUCGGUGUAGGAUGAGCCCGCGGCCUAUCAGCUUGUUGGUGGGGUGAUGGCCUACCAAGGCGACGACGGGUAGCCGGCCUGAGAGGGUGAUCGGCCACAUUGGGACUGAGAUACGGCCCAGACUCCUACGGGAGACAGCAGUGGGGAAUAUUGCACAAUGGGCGGAAGCCUGAUGCAGCGACGCCGCGUGAGGGAUGACGGCCUUCGGGUUGUAAACCUCUUUCAGCAGGGACGAAGCGUAAGUGACGGUACCUGCAGAAGAAGCACCGGCUAACUAUGUG